UACGAAGGGGGGCUAGCGUUGUUCGGAAUUACUGGGCGUAAAGCGCACGUAGGCGGAUAUUUAAGUCAGGGGUGAAAUCCCAGAGCUCAACUCUGGAACUGCCUUUGAUACUGGGUAUCUUGAGUAUGGAAGAGGUAAGUGGAAUUCCGAGUGUAGAGGUGAAAUUCGUAGAUAUUCGGAGGAACACCAGUGGCGAAGGCGGCUUACUGGUCCAUUACUGACGCUGAGGUGCGAAAGCGUGGGGAGCAAACAGGG
rnacentral:rRNA from 1 species